rfam:Erysiphe necator strain c c-strain-scaffold_14, whole genome shotgun sequence.
AGAGAGUUGGCUGAGUGGUUUAAAGCGACUAGCUUGAAACUAGUUAAAAUUAAUAAUUUUCAAGGGUUCGAAUCCCUUACUCUCUG